AGCUUUGCGCAGUGGCAGUAUCGUAGCCAAUGAGGUUUAUCCGAGGCGCGAUUAUUGCUAAUUGAAAACUUUUCCCAGGUUCUGGAGUUGAGAGAAUUAGACUUCCCUCUGGAGA
ensembl:snRNA U4 U4 spliceosomal RNA